UACGAAGGGGGCUAGCGUUGCUCGGAAUCACUGGGCGUAAAGGGUGCGUAGGCGGGUCUUUAAGUCCGGGGGGAAAUCCUGGAGCUCAACUCCAGAACUGCCUUUGAUACUGAAGAUCUUGAGUUCGGGAGAGGUGAGUGGAACUGCGAGUGUAGAGGUGAAAUUCGUAGAUAUUCGCAAGAACACCAGUGGCGAAGGCGGCUCACUGGCCCGAUACUGACGCUGAGGCACGAAAGCGUGGGGAGCAAACAGG
rnacentral:rRNA from 1 species